rnacentral:sRNA from 1 species
GUUAAUAUUUUUUUCAAGUUGUUAUAUUGUAACAUUUUAAUUUACAUUGAAUCAAAGAAAGUCAAGUAUUAAUUCUGAUCACCAAUGACUAGAGAUGUCAAAAUGGGUAACCCAACUCAACUCAACUCAUAAUCAAAUGAGUUUAGGGUUAAAUGAGUUAUGGGUUGACCCAACUCAUUUGAUGGGUUGAGUUAUUAAAUGAGUUAACCCAUUUAAGUAAUAAUUUAAUUAAUUAUAAAUAAAAAACAAUAA